UCCCACCAUGGCCUGGGCCCCUCUGCUCCUCACGCUGCUCACGUACUGCUCGGGUUCCAGCUCGCAGCCUGUGCUGACUCAGACGCCCUCGGUGUCCGUGUCCCCCGGAGAGAAUGUGAGACUGGCCUGCACCAUGUCCUCAGGAUACAGCAUCGGCAGCUACAGGGUGGGAUGGUACCAGCAGAAGUCGGGCAGUGCCCCACGGUUUGUGUACCACUACCAAACUAGCAGUGACCAGGGCAGGGGCACAGGGAUCCCAGCGCGAUUCACCGUCUCCCCUGACACCUCCAACAACCUCUGGAAUUUAGUCAUCUCUGGGGUCCAAGCAGAGGAUGAUGCAGAUUAUUACUGUGCUGUAUGGGAUGGUAGUAGUAACGCUCAUCACAGUGAUACCGUGAGAUAG